UUUCAGUUAAUUCUUAUCAAUCUUUAAAAGUUUUGCUGAUUAGUGGUAAUGGCGGAAGGUAGGUUUACAACUACCGCUUGGUGUGUAUACCUGGUAGGUAUAUAUAUGGAAAAAACAUACGAAGAUCGUGGCGCCAAAAUUCCAAUGCUUUCCACCGGGGCUGAAAAACAAUGCAAUUUUUUUUAAAAAAAUCCUUUUAUAUAGUAAAAUGAGAACUUGUGUGCCAUAAGUUUUCGUUAGAAUUUUUCAAAAAAUUGAAUUAUGUGAGCAAGUUAUUAAGUGGAAUUAUUUUUAACUUAGAACAUUUGAACUGUCAAGUUCAAUGUAUCAGGAAAAAAUAUUGAAAAUUUGAGAAAGAAUUUUUUCCUAGGUAUGGCUACAAAAUAUCGAACAAUUUGAUGAAAUAGGAAUUUCUAACCAUUUGUUAUGUCUCAAUUAAAUUUCGCCGUAUGUAGAGCCUUUGCUUUCAGAUAUUCGUAAAAACAUACAAAAAAGCAUGGCACUAGCUGUGUUUUCGUAUAAAUAAAAAAGGUCCUUAGUAUAGUUAUCCAGACGAUAUUUUUCAAUUUCAAAUCUCACUUCAGGUACCUGAAAACAUCCCUAAGUAGAAGUAAUAUUUUUGUAUCCUGACUUGAAAUCUGGGCUUUUAAAAAAAUGAUUUUGGUGCUUUAGAAUGCUGUGUGAAUUGAAUUUUCAAUCUCUCAACAAAUGCGUCUCAGCG